GGCAGGUUAGGUCACCUCCCAGCCAACCUGGUGAGUCAGCAGCCCUCACCAGCGGCCUCUGCCUUGCAGUCUCUGGUUCUCACCACCCCCCACCCCGCGGGCUCUGCUUGUUCUGAUUUCAUGCUGUCCUUAAUGCUUUGCUUCUGUAGCUCUGCCAUUGUUAUCCUUGGCACACACUGGUGUAUUGUUACCCAAGGCCCUGGGUCAGACACUGUGAGAAGACACUUGGAAUGAGACACCACAGCGCCACACAGAGCAGGUGGAAUUUGGAAAGAAGCCAGCUGCUAAUCACGGUAAGACAAACUUUCACUGUAGCCUCUAUUUUAUGGCUCCCAUUUGUUUACCUGCUCGUUUCUAUAGGUUAGAGAGGAAAGAGCUUUGAUCCUACGCCAAUGCUAAUACUGCCAUUUUCCCGCAGCAUUCAGGAAAGGAAGCCUGGUGAGCAGCACAGGUCAAAAAUGGGCCCUGGCUUCAGUUUUGGAGAGAAACCAGAGACUCCUCCCCCAUGCACUUUGACACCUGCAGUUCAUAUCUGGACAGGACUGGCUUAGGGUACUGUUCAUCUCUCAUGUGUUGGUCUUGCCUCCCGUUGAGAUGGACAGCAGCUCAUAGACAAUCUUAAAGCUGUGGAUGCUGGGGCUUCAUGUUGAGUUACUCAAUCAACACUAUGGGUGAUGAUCAUCAGGAGGAAAUGAAAAUAAAACAAGGAGGAUGACCUAUCUAGCAUCACCUAGAACAGCAGCCCUGUCAAGCUCCUCAGGACCCCAAGCCUGGGAAGCUCUUAACUCACCUCCACAGAAUGUGUGAAGAAUGAGAAGCACUAAUAAGCAACUCAAUAAGGACAAGAAUUUACUGGAGAUGGAGGAUAUAAUCUGUCGACUCCACAUGAGUCCUAUAAAAGGUCAGCCAACAUCACCAAAGAUUCAAAAAGUUGUAAAGACUGAAAAAUACUGCCCAGGAACAAAGACAAUUAACCUCAUCCCUGUAACCUUGAGAACUAACACUGGCCUCAGUUUCCUCAUCUGGACAAUGUGGCUACUGAACUGGGGAAAGUCCUCCCAAAUUUAACAUUCAACAUCUGCUCCAAGUAUCAUGAGACAAUUAUGUAUGUCAGUUUCACUUUGGCAGUUGACAUGCCAUGAACCCAGGUUGCAUUAAGUCAAAUCAGGGUUUCAUGUAAAAUCCCAUGUUGUUUGUCAUACUCCUAGCCUGCAACAGUGACAUCCUGGGAGCCCAAAUCGUGUCAUAAAUUCACUGGCCAUUACGAGAAAAGGAUCUUGGAUUUUGUAGAUGAAAAAAAUGGAGUGCUUAAGAGGUCAAAUGGCUUGCCUUAGGUUGCACAAUUAGACAUGGAUAGUAGGCUUUCCAGGACAGGGGGUAGGAAGGAGGGAGGACCCACAGGAUACCAAGAGCAAAAACAAACAAACAAAAUCCCCUUUGAAUGACUUUAAGAGACUUGUUUAAUCUCUUUAUGCAUCUCCAUUUCUACUUCUCAAGGAAGUAUUCUCAACAACUCUUAAGAACCAUGAAUAAACGGGCUAUGUGAAACCAAAGCAGCACUGUGUCUAACAAUUUAGAAACUGCUAUUCUGUGGGCAGAAAAACAGAAAGAAAAUAUUUGCAGUGCCAUCUUGCUAAAGAGAAAAAAAGGGCACCUCUAUGUCUUCAGAUUUUGCUGUUGUUGUUGUUGUUUGUUUGUUUUCUUUUCUAAAUUCUCAGAACAAGAAUGUCUCAGAAGAACAUAAACUGGUUCUCAUAAAGAGCUGGGCAGCACUGCCUUCUGAGCCAUCCUGUGCAACCAGAGCCACAGGGCCAGCUCACAUGUGGGCAGUGGGUUGUCACAGGCUGUGUAAUUGCACCAAGAAGAAAACAUACACAUAACAAACAGAGUUCCCAAAGUGCUUCUGAGGGAGAAUGGGUGAGGAUCAGGGAGGGCUUUUUAUUUAUUGGUGCUGGAGAUUGAACCUAGGGUCUUGUACUUGCUACACACGUUCUACCAUACAGCUGUGCCCCCACCUCUGGGAAUAAUUCCUUAAAAGGAGAAUUCACAAGUCUGACCAUGUUUCUGAUUUCAUCGUAAACAGGUUUCACAAAAUUUCAAUCAGGACUCAACAGGAGUUUCCAGAGACUUCUCUGAAGGACACUAGCUCCAGUGAAGGUGGACACAUCUCUGAUUUUGGCAAGUGGAGAAAUGGGAGGGAGAGAAUGUUUAGAACUUUUAAAAAAUAGAAAUAAGGGCUGGGGAUGUAACAUAGUAGUACAGAGCAUGAUUGGCAAGCACAAAGACCAGGGUUUGAUCCCCAGUACCCACCCCCCAAAAAAGGAAAUAUGUUUGUUUUUGUUAAGAACACAUAAUUGCCAUAUCACACGCCAAGUUCC
rnacentral:lncRNA from 1 species